GGCGGCAUAGCCAAGUGGUAAGGCACAGGUCUGCAAAACCUUGACCACCAGUUCAAAUCUGGUUGCCGCCU
rnacentral:tRNA from 1 species